rnacentral:tRNA from 1 species
CGGGAUAUGGCGCAGGUUGGUAGCGCGCGUCGUUCGGGACGACGAGGUCACAGGUUCAAAUCCUGUUAUCCCGACCA